AAGAUUCGACGUCACAGCAAAGGAAAUAAACAUCAACACGCCAUUUUUCAUCGAUACUUGCAUUUUAAGUCUGGUAGCAAUACACUAUGCUCACCCUUGAGGUCACACACAAAAUACUGUUACAGAGUGAUGCAUUAACCAAUAGGCACCGCAGCACCAUCCACCUCAACAUAUUAUUUCUUCUGACCUUUCCUGGAGCACAGGAUCCUUUAUUACAAUAUCGACACUUCGCUGUUUACAUUUCUCAGAUGGCAGGUCUUUAUGGUAAUGUGAUGCAUACGUAAACAUAUGAGCUUGGGGCUUCAAAAAGUGUACGAAUACCAUAUGAGCUCGGGACUUCGGAAAGUGUACGAAUACCA
rnacentral:lncRNA from 1 species